AUGAGGCCACCUCACGCAGCGCUCCUCUUGCUCUUCAUCCUAGCGUACUUCCGCGGUGCCUACUCCAGUGGCAGCCAGAGCCGUUUCACAUCCAUAAUCAGCUUCGGCGACUCCUUCGCCGACACCGGUAAUUUGGUCAUGUGGGCUGAUCCCGUCCUUCCAGGUCUACUACUCAAGAACCUCCCCUACGGCGAGACCUUCUUCGGCCACCCCACCGGACGUGCCACCAACGGCCGCCUUGUGCUGGACUUCGUCGCCGAAGCUCUGGGUCUGCCUUCCGUGCCGCCGUACCUCGCCAAGGAGAGUAACUUCUCCACCGGAGUAAACUUCGCCGUGGUAGGAGCUCCGGCUCUGACCCUGACAUACCUGCAGGGACAGAAUUUGACUGUGAACCCUCCUAUCAAUAGUUCCCUCUAUGAUCAGCUCCUGUGGUUCCAGAAACUGAAGCCUUCGCUCUGCAAGGGACAAGGUGCUGAUUGCUUCAGGAGCUCUCUGUUUGUCAUGGGAGAGUUUGGAGCAAAUGACUACAGGAGCUUCCUUCUGUCCAACAGGACUGUGGAACAAGCCACAACUUAUGUUCCCCAAAUCGUUGACAGCAUCUCCCAAGGCCUAGAGAUACUGAUCCAGUACGGCGCCAAGUACAUCAUUGUGCCAGACAUCUUCCCACUUGGCUGCGUACCCACAGUGCUCACAAAGCUUGCUAGCCCAAACAAAGCGGAUUACUAUCGGAACGGAUGCCUGAAGAGUGCGAACAGGCUGGGGCGCUACCACAACUCUCUCCUCCGCCAGCGGAUCAAAUUGCUCCGGCACAAGUACCCCCAUGCGAAGAUCAUUGCCGCUGAAUACUACCGACCCGUCCUUGCCUUUCUAGAUAUGCCAGGGCAUUUUAGACUGAAUAGCAGCACAACCCUCCUCACCUGUUGUGGUGCUGGAGGACCUCCUUAUAACUAUGACUUCGACUCAGAGUGCGGGCGGCCGGGUGUGAUGACGUGUGCAGAUCCAUCUCAGGCCCUUCAAUGGGAUGGUUUCCACCUCACGGAGUCCGCCUACAAGGCCGUUGCCGAUGGGUGGCUCCAUGGCCUCUUGAUAUGCCUAGUCUUCCUGUGA
rnacentral:rRNA from 1 species